AAUACCGCAUACGCCCUGAGGGGGAAAGUGGGGGACCGCAAGGCCUCACGUUAUUGGAGCGGCCGAUGGCUGAUUAGCNAGUUGGUAGGGUAAAGGCCUACCAAGGCGACGAUCAGUAGCUGGUCUGAGAGGACGAUCAGCCACACUGGGACUGAGACACGGCCCAGACUCCUACGGGAGGCAGCAGUGGGGAAUUUUGGACAAUGGGGGAAACCCUGAUCCAGCAAUGCCGCGUGUGCGAAGAAGGCCUUCGGGUUGUAAAGCACUUUUGUCAGGGAAGAAAUCCUUUGGGCUAAUACCCUAGGGGGAUGACGGUACCUGAAGAAUAAGCACCGGCUAACUACGUGCCAGCAGCCGCGGUAAUACGUAGGGUGCAAGCGUUAAUCGGAAUUACUGGGCGUAAAGCGUGCGCAGGCGGUUGUGUAAGACAGGUGUGAAAUCCCCGGGCUUAACCUGGGAAUUGCAUUUGUGACUGCACGACUAGAGUGUGUCAGAGGGGGGUGGAAUUCCACGUGUAGCAGUGAAAUGCGUAGAUAUGUGGAGGAACACCAAUGGCGAAGGCAGCCCCCUGGGAUAACACUGACGCUCAUGCACGAAAGCGUGGGGAGCAAACAGGAUUANAUACCCUGGUAGUCCACGCCCUAAACGAUGUCAACUAGUUGUUGGGGAUUUACUUCCUUGGUAACGUAGCUNACGCGUGAAGUNGACCGCCUGGGGAGUACGGCCGCAAGGUUAAAACUCC
rnacentral:rRNA from 1 species